rnacentral:lncRNA from 1 species
AAUUAAUAAAUAAAAUAACAAAACCUUUUUUUUUUAUGUUUAUAAAUGAGCAACAAAAAUUGAAAUAAUUUAAUCAGUUUUUAACAUUAAAAGCGCAAAAGUGAAAAAAAAAACAAACUAGCAAUCAAACAACACAUUAAUUAUACAUUUUAUAAAUUCAGAACCACUUUAGUAGAUAUACAAAAUGUGCAUGUAAUAAAAAUAUUAAAUGUCUUGUUAAAAAGAAAAAAAAAAAAAAAAAAGAAAAAAAAAUGGGAAAGUAAUAAAACUUUGGAAAAAAAAAAAAAAUAUAUGUAUAUAUAAUAUAUAUACAUUUAUUUAUGUACUGGUGUGUAUAAAACUAUGUAAAAGCGUAAAAUUAAAAAAAAAAAAAAAAAAAAAAAAAGGAUUAACCAUUAAAUUGUUGAUUCUUAUGUUAUAUUCAUGUGAUUUUUAACAUUUAAUUUUAUGUUACAUUUAAAGGGAAAAAAAAAAGAAAAAAAGAAUAAAUAAAUAGCUAAAUAAAUAUAAAAAAUAAAUCAUUAUAUAAUACAAAAGUAUAUUUUUAUGGUGUAUAUAAGGAAUAUAAGUUUUUAUAUAAAUAUAUAUAUAUAUACUAACAGUUAUUUUUAUCGCUUUUUUUUUUUUUUUUUUUUUUUUUUUUUUUUUUUUUUUUUUUUUUUUUUUUUUUUUUUUUUUUUUUUUUUUUUUGUCCUUUUAUCAUCAUAUGUACAUAUGUAUAUAAUUAAUUUCAAAUUUAUUGUUUUCUUAAAACAAAUUAUUUUAUGACUUUUAUUUUUACUUUUUUAAAUAAUCUUCGUUUUUAUUUUAUUUUAUUUUUUUUUUAUUAUAAAAAAAAAAUGCAAAUAUGUUAAAUUUAAUUUUUAAUUGUGUGUCACUGCUAUGUUCUGGAAACUUUGAUAUUUGUAUUAAGACAUAUAAAAUAAGUAAAAAAAAAUAUGUACUACAUGCGUACAUUUAUAUAUAUGUUCGUAUAUUACAUAACAUUAUAGUCAAAAAAUAAAGACAAAAAAAAUAAAAAAAAAAAAAAUAAA